UAAUGUUUUAUUUGCCGCACAUAAAUGAAGAUCUUAGGCGUAUCAGUGCAACCAGUGUGAAUAAAGGGUUAACCAUAGAUUAUAGGACAUGUACAAGCAUUAAAGGGGAACCGAACAGUUUCUAGAAAAGCAGUCUUAUGAGUUAAUACCCAAACAGAUUUGCAAUGUUUAACAUACAUAUGAUAUAAUUGUUAAACAUUAACUAAAGGUUGUUGCUUUAUUAGGAUUAACACAGACUCGAUUAUGCAUUCAUUAACAGUUAGACAUGUUAUUUGCAGAUCAUAGGCAAGAACAAUGCUCUUUACUUAUAGUGUUGCCAUUUGUUUUACCAGUGCAGCUGUGAGACUGUACCUACAUUUUAAAGCAACAUUAUGUAGAAAUAAUGUAAUCGUACCCUCUCUCUGAAGCAACAAAAGUGAUGGGGGGGUCUGUUACAAGACACUGUACCAUCAACAUGAUUUUGAAGCUGUUAUUUCAAGGUCAAAAGUUACACGAUGUUGCCUUAAAUGUCUUCUUUCCUGUUUCUUAAAUGUCUUAAUAAUAGGUGACAUGGUCCUUUAGUCCUGUUAUGACUCGAUGUGUGUUUUUGCUGUCGCAGAUUGAGAAGAAGAAGCAGACAUGUCAGAGAAGAAGCCACGAGGCUCUGACACGCGUCCUAAAUGUGGCCUCCGCAGUUGGAGCGCAGACAGUUACGUUUGGAAGGGGAAGAAACGAUCCCGGAGCUCACGCAACGGCUCGAGUCCAGGCGGGCUGGAGGCGGACGGGACGGAGGAGCUGGGCGUGCGGUCGACAUCCUGUCCGAGGCGGCGCAGAGAGAGGAAGUGUAGCUGCAGCACUCUCGGGGAGGCACUGACGUCUGCAGACAUUGAUGUAGUGUGUCGGAAGGCCUUGUCCCGCCGCUCUCUGCGGCAGAAGUUUCAGGAUGCCGUGGGCCAGUGUCUUCCUCUGCGCUCUCACCAUCACCAUCAUCAUCAUCACCACCCAUCGGGCUCCUCGCGACCCUUCUCGGUGCUCUUCUGGUCCAAACGUAAGAUCCACGUGUCGGAGCUCAUGCAGGACAAGUGUCCAUUCUCGUCCAAAUCUGAACUGGCCCGAUGUUGGCACCUCAUCAAAAAUCAAGCCGCCCACCAAAGUGCUCUCAAGGACAUGGAAACCCCCCUCAAACCCAACGUUUCAUCUUCCUCCUCCUCCCCACCACAGACCCCUCUCUCUUGGGACGACAUCUGCUGCUCUCCUGGACCUGGAGGCACCAGCCUGGAGGACUGGGACCCUUCUUGUCCUCACGGCGGGGCGGAGGGUCGCUGCGGCCACACUGACUACGUCCUGGUGCCGGAUCUCCUCCAGAUCAACAACAGCCCGUGUUACUGGGGCGUGCUGAACCGCUUUGAGGCAGAGGAGCUGCUGGAGGGCAAACCAGAGGGGACAUUCCUGCUCCGGGACUCCGCCCAGGAUGAGUUCCUCUUCUCGGUCAGCUUCCGUCGCUACAGCCGCUCCCUUCACGCACGCAUUGAGCAGAACGACAAGCGCUUCAGCUUUGACGUGCGCGACCCAUGCAUGUACCGGGAUCCCAGCGUGACAGGACUGCUGAGACACUACAGUGACCCGGCCACCUGCCUCUUCUUUGAGCCACUCCUCUCCCGGCCACUGUCAAGGACCUUUCCCUUCUCACUGCAGCACCUGUGCAGGACUGUGAUCUGUAGCUGCACCACCUACCAGGGCAUUGACAACCUGCCGCUGCCACAUCAGCUCAGGGACUACCUCCGACAAUACCACAUUAAAUAUGACGGGGCCUGUGCUGUGUGACCAAAGUCCAAAGCAGGCCUCGCAACCAAUGAAGGCAAAGAUAGGAUAAGCAAAGGAAAGUCCUCUCAGCAAAAGGGCAAGAAUACUGUUCUCGAAUUCCAAGUAGCUUUGCUUUGCAGAUCUUUGAGGUCUAAACGGCGCAGAACCAGAUGAUCGUCGGUCUUGAUGCAUCACGAGACAGGAAAACUAAAAAUCCAAGAGAUCAUCAGCCUUCUCUUCAAGCCUGAAUCCACAUGCUGGACGAAGACGUGGACGUAACAUCUCUUACGUUUUCCUUCAGUACUAAGAGAUGACUUGAAGUCUGGAUUAAGGUUUUCUGCUUCCGGUGAUUCUGAAAGCUACUGGAACCAUGUUUGACUUGAUGGCAAGCGAACACAGCUGAAUCUGAUACACUGAGACAGUAAUUGAAAGUUAAGAACAGUUGUCGUAAAGGAUAAGUUCACUCAAAAAAAAAAAAAAGUCAUUAUCUACUCACCUGUCGAAAGUUAAGUGAAGUUUCGUAGCUCACAAAACAUUUUAGGAGCUUCACAGCAAAACGGCAUUGCAGUAUUCUCCUUAACAACUGAAGUAGAGAGAGAGUACAUGCGCACAUAAAAUGGCUCUGUGCAGCUCAUCUGGCACAAUCCAAGUUUCUGGAAGGCCCGAGAUUCCAACUUGCUUUAAAAAAAACCUUUAUGCACUCCCUCAAUACUCAGCCGAGCUUGUGCGCCUGCUUCAGACGGGCUGCAUGCUAACACAGCUAGCUUAGCAGCGAGGUAAAGAUUUCUGCUUCAAAAAAGUGUGUAAAGAACAUCUUUUGGAUCCAGCUAUGCUUUGUGGACCACAAAACAAGGAGCCACUAGAAAUCUGCACCUUUUACGCUUUGCAAUAUCACUGAUGUUGUCGCACUACCAGACCUCUCCCCCCACAAAAGACUUGGUGUGGCGAUGGAGUUCGUGAUUAAUCACUCGACGCAUUUGCCUCCUGAUGGGGAUGUUGAGUCCGGCGCAAUGAAAAACGACGGACUGUCUAUCUGCUUGACUUUUUAUCUGCUGCACUCUGUGGCAACGAGAUAAAGGCGAUGGACAAUGGCAGAAAAAGAGACGCUGGUCAUAACUCGGUUCAAGUACUAUAAACGUCACAAUUGUAACCUUCUUCUUCUUAGGAGUUUAUUUAAUGGUAUUGCAUUCUUCUCUGCGGCCACAAGAUGGCAGCAUGACUGCACUGAUCAGGGGUUUGGCGGGAUUUCAUCUGCGCCUCUUUCCUGCCCUCACACCACUCAGCUGCCUCUUUAGACCUUGAUCUUAAAAACAGGUAUUUUUUUGCUUCUACAGCUUCCCCGAGUAUUUAUAUCGAAAAACUGUUAUGACGAAGGAGUACACUUUAAUGUAAGCACUGUUCUCAAAGUAUCUGAAUCACUGCGAUACCCCCUUGAGGCAUAUAUUGUGCUA